CCAAAAGAGAGAUGCCAUGGAGGGACUGGGAGAAUAACAUGUGCCAGGUGUUCUCCGAACCAGUUUUGGCAGUUAUGGUUUCAAGAGUGGAGUUUCAAAACACCCAGUUAUACAACAGCUGCCCUUUGAAUAGGAGUUCCACCCACUGUUCCCAUUGGGAACUCAAGAUGGGAGGGAAGACUCUGUUGUGAACCUAGCCUUUCUAGUUAUAACGGA